rnacentral:rRNA from 1 species
UACAGAGGUCUCAAGCGUUGUUCGGAUUCAUUGGGCGUAAAGCGCACGUAGGCGGCUCGUUAAGUCGGAUGUGAAAGCCCUCGGCUCAACCGAGGAAGUGCAUACGAAACUGGCGAGCUUGAAUAUGGAAGAGGGUCGCGGAAUUCCCGGUGUAGAGGUGAAAUUCGUAGAUAUCGGGAGGAACACCAGUGGCGAAGGCGGCGACCUGGGCCAAUAUUGACGCUGAGGUGCGAAAGCGUGGGGAGCAAACAGG